CCUGGAUUUGUGUCUGAGAUUUCAGUUCGGCAGGGUCGAGAAUUUUCGGAAGUG
rnacentral:tRNA from 1 species